rnacentral:snRNA from 1 species
UCAGUAUUAUUUUUCUUA